rnacentral:lncRNA from 1 species
CUACUAAUCGGAAGUUGAGCAGAUGCAUCAUUCUCGAAACAAAAGACAGUAAAGAAUAAUCAUUGUGCGUCAGUUCCUCGUGGCGUUCGGUUUUCAAUUUGGUGUGUUCUGUUAUAAAACUCCCAGAAUGUUGGUGGGCUUGGCUCCACAUUCCAGAGCAGGUCAACAACAUUUGAGACCAAAAAAUUUGGACAAGGCGCGAAAAGCCCAAACUGUUUUAUGUGUCGGACGGGACACCCCGUAGAUUUCCAGCCACCCACACACACACAGACCAUGAAUAAUGGCUUUGGUCGUCGACGAUAUCCUCUCGCAGACAUUUGCGACUGCUCAGCAGCCACCCUACUGUGGCGGUGCGAGACCCUGUUUUAGGAUACGGCCAAUUAUAGAUUUGCUGGUGUCAUCCUGUUACCUCCGUGAUAAAAGAGCAACGUGAAUGUUCCUUCGAAUCUGGGCAAAACAAAAGAGAUGGAAUUCGUUUUUCUUUUGCUAUCGGUCCUCGUAGCCGCUUCUCAGCAACUCCAUCAGCAGCUAGGAUGUUAUUGGCAUACAUCUCGAUUUCCACUGCCGCGAGUGGUGGCGUCGAUACUUGAACUCGACGACUGUCACGAAAACGGUUGAUAUCGCAGGGCGAAGAAGAGUUACCCGUGAUUAGUAACCUGUGGAAACAAGUUCUAAUUCUUAGGUGCGAUACCAUUAAGGAAGACGGACAAUGUUCCCUUCCACGAAUCCAAAUCGUCGGAGGAGACUCCCUUAGCAGCCAAAAAUUCGAUCAAGAGGCGGCCGAAAUCCUGAAAAAAAUGCAAGUCCGCGAGGAAUUCCACGUUCCAUGUGGGUGUACCUCAUGUAGUUGAUGUUGCCCAAAAGUUGCAGUUUGUCACCCAUAGCCGAGAUCAUGGCGUCCAGACGAUCAGCGACGAGGGCCACUUGCUUAUUGAAGUCUCCGUUGCUUUUCAAUGAUUCGACAGGGACGUUAGCGAAUUUGGCGAAAUAUUUCUGGAUGCGAGGAGUCUCCUUGAAGAGGCUUUUCGUAGAUAAAGAUUCUGUGAUCAAUGACUCACUUGACGAAGAUGGAAGUGACCAUGGAAUUGCGGCCAGCACGCAUGUUUUCCCAGCUCCUUUGGACAUCGCGGAUUUGGUGAGGGCUCAGCUUAGUUUGAGGGUCGACCAAAUCUUCAGGGUAUGCUACUCACUUCAGAGUCUUAGAGACGCCCACGACCAGAGCGGUGAUUCCGUUCUUCCAGGCUUGUCUGGCCUCAUUGCUGAAAGUGUUUCCGAGCUCCUCUUCGAGCACUUGUUCAAGGAUGACACCGAAUUCCUUUUGUUUAGCGAAAGCAAAAAGAAAACAUUUCGGAAAUCAAAAUGGGGUAACUCCGCGAGGUUGAUGGGCACCACCGAGAGCGUUCAGCUGACCGGCCAUCAGCUCCUGGCUGGACAGGGACUGAAUGACGACGUUCAAACCGGCCAAGAUGGUGUAGGCCUGAGCCAGGAAGUUACCGUUGGUCAUCAUCUCGGCUUGGGGAACAUUGGCGAAUUUGCUGAACUUCUUCUGGUACUCUGGGUGAGCCUUGACGAAGCUAAAAUAACAAUCACGCUACGUCAGAUUUUCUAGCAGCGGAGAAAAUGAAAAGGACAAAUGACUCGUACCGGAAAAGAACCUUAGGAGCGACAUCACCGUCCCUCUUGGCCUGAUCCCAAGUCUUGCGGAUGAUGCUGCGGUCGCUAGAGCUGAGCAGGCCGGACUGGUUUUCAUCGUCCAUCGAGACGGUAGUAACGCUAGUAGUAACCGUGGUCACAGUUGUUCCGGGCUAUUAUGCCCAAUCCAAUAUGGCCAAUAAUUCUUAUAUGAGUAAGUACGAGAAAGAUGAUAAAAUAUUUUAAAUCUUACCGCUUGAGAGUAAGCGCUGACAAAAGCCACGAUGCUGAGGAGAAGAGUGAGCUUGAAAGAAGCCAUUGUUGCGUCGGAGUAUUAGCUCUGGAAAUCAGACAGCUAAAUGAUAUGCUCUUCGGUCCAUUUUCACUGCCUUUUAUACUUGUCCGGACUCGGAAGAUGGGCUGCUGAUGGAGCUGUUUGUCCCUGAUAAGUUGAAUGAGCCUACUCUGGGAUUGAGAUAGAAGAAUGGAUCUGCCGUGGUUUUGUGUUGGUUUCAAUGUCCCUCUUUAAUGUCAGCUGCGUAUCAUCAAAAAUUUGCUGAAGGGCCACACAUUUUUCUAAUAUGAGCUACCUUGAAAGGCUCGGGACACCAGGACUUGUUUUUUAUGUUUACUCAAAAGAAGAGUAGCCAAGGAAUAAUUACGGUUACAAAUCCAUGCUCGGUGUUCCCGUAAUACUUCGGUUGUCUUGCGAAGAAACUGCAUAUGACCAGGACCUGGCAGACCGGUCAUCGUCUGAUGUUAUCACGGCUAACCGCCUUAAAAUCAAACCACCUCUAAACGUUACAGGUUAACUAGGUUGGUGCGCCAGUACGUUACAGCGCUAGCGUGCUACAUUACAAUUAUUCAUUAUAUAAAAAAAAAAACACUGAUUUGACAAGGAAAUUAAUCAGUUACCCCAACUUGGCAUUUAAUUUUGAGUAUAAUUUGUGAUUUUCAUCAUAUUCUUAGAAAUAUCAUUAUUUGCAGAUUUUGACAAAAAUGGGAAGGCUAUGGGAAUCCUUCCUACUUUUCCAAUUUUUGCUAAAAUCAAGAAUGCGUUUAAAGCACGUGAAUUCGAUUCAAAAUUGAACGUGAAUCACGAAAAUUAAACUUGUUAUUGCAUCGGCUCAAUAUUUUUUGAAAUAAUCAUUGAAAACAGAAGAACUAAAUUGUCUCGCUAAGAAUAAUUUUGUUACAAUUAUUUUUAAAAUGACUUUUCUUAUGAGAAAACUAUUAGUAUUUUCGGAAUUAGCGUUCAAUUUUGAUUAUUAUAUGUAACUUCCAUUAAAUUCUAUGAGAUGUCGCUUUUUGCGGAUUUCGACAAAAGUGAGAAGGGACUUACCAUUUUUGCACUCAACGGCUCAACAUACAAGUAGAGUGUCAAUUUGGGACUGGUUUUGUCAUCUGUUGGUCGAGGUGGAAAAACAGGGAUUGGAUCAACAAUUUUAUUCCCACACUUACCUUUGGAAUUGUUGGAUCGUAGCUGUUGUUGCAGGACACUCCUUGUUUGGGACUUGAUUUGUCACCAUUUGUUGAUUUGUGAAAACAGGGAUUGGACCAACCAUUUUAUUCCCACACUUAUCAUUGGAAGUCUGGCAUGGUAGCUGUUGUUGCAGGACACUCCUUGGUUCGUUAGUGAAGUUUCAGAAAGCAGCAUUCCAAGAGCAAGAAUCUAAUUUACAGGCUAUUAACACAAUCUAGAAUGUUUAACUUUGUUUUCCUGCUUCGAUGGUGAAAUUGAAUUAUAUUGGAAUUUAAAAGUU